GAUUAAAUGAAGUCAAUGUAAAAUAAUUUCUUUAAAAAAAAAUUAAAAAAUAGGUCCAAGCAGCGUACUUGUGGUAAACAUUAUGUACAAAGUACUGGUUAUAGAGGUAAUAAAAGUCAUUUUUCAUACAAACAUUUGCAAAAAUUACCAUGAAUAGAACUGGUAUCAAGAACCAAUGAGGAAUCGGACAGAUAAGCAGAAGAGGAAGUGGCGUUAAUAAUAUC